UACGUAGGGGGCUAGCGUUGUCCGGAAUCAUUGGGCGUAAAGCGCGUGUAGGCGGUCCGGUAAGUCCGCUGUGAAAGUCGGGGGCUCAACCCUCGGAUGCCGGUGGAUACUGUCGGGCUUGAGUACGGAAGAGGCGAGUGGAAUUCCUGGUGUAGCGGUGAAAUGCGCAGAUAUCAGGAGGAACACCAAUUGCGAAGGCAGCUCGCUACACGAAGAUUGACUCUGAGGCACGAAAGCGUGGGGAUCAAACAGG
rnacentral:rRNA from 1 species